CCUACGGGAGGCUGCAGUAGGGAAUUUUCGGCAAUGGGGGGAACCCUGACCGAGCAACGCCGCGUGAACGAAGAAGUUAUUCGUAAUGUAAAGUUCUUUUAACAGGGAAGAAAGAGAAAUUUGACGGUACCUGAAGAAUAAGCUCCGGCUAACUACGUGCCAGCAGCCGCGGUAAUACGUAGGGAGCGAGCGUUAUCCGGAAUUAUUGGGCGAAAAGGGUGCGUAGAUGGCAUAGAAAGUCUAUUGUAAAAAUGCUGGGCUAAACCCAGUAGGGCAAAAGAUACUGCAAAGCUAGAGUAUGACAGAGGCAAGUGGAACUACAUGUGUAGCGGUAAAAUGCGUAAAUAUAUGUAAGAACACCAGUGGCGAAGGCGGCUUGCUGGGUCGAUACUGACAUUGAGGCACGAAAGCGUGGGGAGCAAACAGGAUUAGAUACCCCUGUAGUC
rnacentral:rRNA from 1 species